rnacentral:rRNA from 1 species
GACGAACGCUGGCGGCGUGCCUAAUACAUGCAAGUCGAACGCAGGGGGGACGGGUGAGUAACACGUGGGUAACCUCCCAUCAGAGGGGAUAACAAUUGGAAACAGGUGCUAAACCGAUACUGAUUGAUGGACCCGGGGGGCAUUAGCUAGUUGGUGAGGUAACGGCUCACCAAGGCCACGAUGCAUAGCCGCCCUGAGAGGUGGAUCAGCCACACUGGAACGGAGACACGGUCCAGACUCCUACGGGAGGCAGCAGUGGGGAAUAUUCGGCAAUGGGCGAAAGUCUGACCGAGCAACGCCGCGUGAAUGAAGAAGGUUUUCGGGUCGUAAACCUCUGUUGUUAGGGAGGCGGUAUCUAACCAGAAAGCCACGGCUAACUACGUGCCAGCCGCCGCGGUAAUAC